rnacentral:lncRNA from 1 species
GUCUCCAGGCCUGGGGCCACUGGGGCGCUCGGCCGCUCGCCUUCUCUCCAAGGUCCCACACGGUCCCCAGCGAGACCGCCGAGGGGCAAGGGGCGCUGGCCACCCAGGUCGCGCCCCCUCCUCCCCGCCGGGAAAGGGCGGAAUUAUCCGCUGGGACCGCGCCGACCUGAGCCCGCCCACCCAGAGCCCGGACGCGGGACGCAAGUUCAUCCAAGAAGCAGAAGCCGCCGCGAGACAGUGACCCCUGGGCUUCCCUGACGGGCCCAGCCGCGCAGAUAGCAGCGGCCGGGGCCGGGGAGUUGGGGGUAGCCCGGGGGGCUCCACGGCAGAGGUCCAGAGGAGCGGGCGUCGGAGGGGACACCCUAGGGAGGGACGCGCCCGCCCCCAUUCCCACCCCACCCCCUCGUGUUCCCGACCCGCAUCCCCGGGGCUGGAGCUGACGCCGCCGGGGGCGCGGGGCGGCCGGGGUCGCCGGGCAUUGCGAGCGGGGCGGCGGCGCGGGCGCGGGCGGAAGCGCCUCUCCCCGGCCCGGCGGCCGCUCGGGGCGGCGGCAACAGGCGCCCGGCACACCCGCCCCGCCGGAGCCUGGGCUUGGGGCGAGAGGCGCGGCGGCGGCGGCGCUGCUCACCCACGCCGUACUUCUCCUCGCGCUUGGUGGGCACCCAGCGCGUCAUGGCGCCGCCGGAGCCGCCGCGGGUCGGGCAGGAAACUCCGCGUCUAGGCCGCCAUUUUCCAUUCCUUUCGAGCCGCGACAGGAUGGGGAGGAAAAAGUUUGCGGCGGAGGCGGCGUCAUGUGGGACGGGGCGGGCGGAGCGUCGCGGGCCGGAUGGGAAAGGCCGGGAGCGCCGGCGGGAGGCGGGACGGCCGCGGGCUCUGCGCCCGCCCUCGGCGCGGACCCUGGGCCCCGACCCCGCGGUCGCCGGGGCUCCCCUUCCUCUGUCCCAGUGCGCCCAGCCCCGCGCUCCGCACCCGGGCACCCCCGCGGGGUUCUCCUGAGUUCCUGGAGCUCCCGGGGCUGGCGCUCACGCCGUGAGAGGGGUGCGCCCUUAGGGGGGCGGGACGGACGGGGGGUUUCUACGGGAGGUAGGAAACGGGCGGCUUGCAAGGCGCGGGCUUAGGCCGGAGCCUGGUGGUGCGAGGUCCCCAGCUCGGAUUUCUCCCUGGUGGAGAGUCCCGGAGCAGAACAAACCAGCAGAGGCUCUGGAAAGGGUCCUCCUGAGCACGUGGCUCAUUCAUUCAUUCGACAAACGUUACCUGAGCGCCUGCCCACUCAUUGCCCGAGUGUGCUGGGAGCGCCGCACCAACUGCCUGGUAGGUGGGAGAAGGGACACGUCAGGUAACAAACAGCACAGGUAAGUGCCGGCCACUCAAAUGGGGUGGAAAGAGGUGGCACAGCGCUGCCGAGGGAGUGCGUUCCAGACAGGUGACCUCUUGCUUGGGUGCUGAAUGAGUGGAGUUUUCCAGAGAGACCAAGAGGAAGCAGCCGCAGAAACCUCAGCCCAGCUGGGCUUGCAGAAGCUAAUGCUAGAAUAGUUGUGGGACUCAGGAUCUGCUGAAGUCGGGGGAAGAGAGAAGUAGGGAAAGGAAAGCCCAGGCCACGCGUGGGGCUCAGGAACGGCAUCCUCGCCCGAGAAAAGAGAGGUUAAAACCAAGACAUGGACAAAGCCUCCGAAUGAAGGCAGCCCUUUAAAUGGAAUAAAUUUGGUUUCAUGGCACAUUAAUGGGGUGUCUUCUCUCCGAAGACACAGAGACAACUACAGUAGGUCUGGGGGCCGUCAGGGAUUGGAGGAACGAAGGUAAGAAAAGGAAGAAGGUAAGAAAAAGAGGUCCCUACCUCUGUGAGGUAGGGACAGUGCUGAACAGCAGGGCUGGGAGAGCCCACAGGGAGGUGGCCAGGAUGGCCACAGGGCCUGGGGAGGACCAGGUGGGGCACCAUCCUGCGGUAGAGAAUGCCCGUCACCUGCCCUAGGGGCCACCCAGAAUGCAGAUUAAAUAAGUAUUUGGGAAUGGCACAGGAGCUUUUCCAUUUUCGUGGGUUAGAGGAAAGCUGCUGCGUUCAAGAGGAUAACGUGGGACCUGAGCAUUCUGGUAAGUCAACCCCACAUUCAUGGAAAGCCACGGGCUCUGUUUUACUGAUAAGGAACUGAAGUCCCACAGAGGAAGUGGCCAGGCUCACUCACACACAGCAUGCACUUGAAGCUUUCUGUGGAAAUCAGAAACCUCCGGGGCUCAGGCGCUGUAGUGGUGGCCUGGUGACUCUGACCCCUUGAAGGAGAAGCAUCUGUGAAGGUGCUGUCCAGGACAAGUAGGGUGCUCUACGGUAAAGGACAUGGUGGCCUGACCUGCUCCAGAGCAGGGAGGCCUCCCUUGAGGAAAUAAGAUAAACCCAGACUUUAAGGAUAAGCAGAAACCAGCUAGGUGAACUGGAGUGGGAACAGCACGUGAAAAGGCCCUGGUUUAGGAAGGAGCACCACUCCUUCAGAGCACAGAAAGGCCAGGAUGGCCGAAGCAUAGGGAACAACAGGAAAGUGACAUAAAUUGAGGCUGCAGAGGUAGAAGAAGGGCCUUAUUGGUCGUGCUAGGAAUUUGGAAUUCUGCAAAGAAGCCUGGGAAACAGAUUUUGGUGACACUCGCCUUCUCUUUAAUGUGCAGUUUCAGUUCUGUUGGUGUGAUUCUGCAUUGGAGAUGGCGUGCUGUAACGAAUGGCCAGGAGCUUAAGAGUCAUGCAGACUUGGGAGGCCUGGCCUUGCCACGCCCAGCUGCAUGGCCAUCCUCCUCCUGUUUCUGGCCGUUCUGUUUCUAAACCUUGGGGUUCUGAUAUUCCUACAUGUAAACUAGGGGCUGUAAUAGGAAUCUCACAGGUGAGUCUUAGGAUUAUAAGAGGAGACAUGACUGCAUGUGUAAGACAUCAUAAUGAUGUGCUUCCUCAUCUGACCCUACCUCCAGGUUCUUUGAUAACCUCAUGGUUCCCAUUUUCUAGAACAGUUGCCACUUGCACUCAGAUAAAGGUGACUCACUGAAUGCAUAAAUAAGUGUAGUGCCGGAUUUGCAUACUUUUGGUAGACUGUCAUAUAAUAAAUUUAUAAAUCAGAAUUUUAAAACUCCAGGUGGGGCCGGGCACAGUGGCCCAUGCUUGUAAUCCCAGCCAGCAUUUUGGGAGGCUGAGGCAGGCAGAUCACUUGAGGUCAGGAGCUCGAGGUCAGCCUGGCCAACCAGGGUUUUAGUAGAAACCCUGUCUGUACUAAAAAUACAAAAAUUAGCUGGGCGUGGGUGCGCAUACCUGUAGUCCCAGCUACUCAGGAGGCUGAGGCAGGAGAAUUGUUUGAACCCAGGAGGUGGAGAUUGCAGUGAAGCAAGAUCGCACCGCUGCACUCCUGCCUGGGUGACAGAGUGAGACUCCAUCUCAAAAACAAACAAAACAAAACUCCAGGUGGACCACGGGCCAGGUGGUUGUAGCUUCAGUCCCUUGAUUGCAACAUGUGCCCAAGUUUGGCUGAGAUGUACCUGUAGCCACGGUCCUUGAAGCCCUGAGAAGAUUUGUCAGCAUCCCCACGGUGCUCCAGCAGUGCUCUCAUCUUGUGGCUCUAAAUCGAGUCCAUGGCCCUCUCUCACUGUCCUAUGGUUGCAUAAGCUCAGAACUGGCUUCGUCUCCAAUUCCAGGAGCCCUGGAGGUUGUGGCCUGUUGACAUUUUUACCUCCUGAGUCAAUGUGGCUGGGCCACAGGUCUCAGUUGCCCUCCCAGGCAUCUUGCAGGACUUGGAUCUGUGCCAAGCUUGUGGGUGUGAACAAGCCCAAGAAUGCUGAGGCUCUCAGUUGCUCAGUGCUGCCCAUCACUGGGAUUUCAGAGUAGUGACCCCCCUCCUCCAAGAUACAACAGAAUCUUGCUUUGGGGCCAUGAAGAACACAAUCAAUAUUACAGUUUUAAAUCUUGAAAAGUACAGUUUUAAUUUUUUUAAUUCCAAAAAAUUUCACACAUGUGCACUGCAAAUUCAGGAGGUAAAUUCAGCAAAAUCUUGCCUGGUGGAGGUACCAGAAGGCACAGUGAGUCAAUGGGGCAUGUUUCUCAGUCGGUGGGGAGAGAUGAGAAUGGAACAGGGAUGUGGAGAUUUUAUGCAGGAAAAGGGGCCUGACCACAGAUUUUUUGCCCUUUGAAAGGAGAGGAACAAGGCCUAUGCCCACUGCCUCUUGGAUUCAGUGGGAGAUCUGGGCAUCAUACUGGAUGACCAGGCAUGUAGUCACAAUGCACAAUGCCACCCAGCCCAAAAGUGUAUAUUCAAGACUUUAGACCCAACUUCGUGCUUACAGGAAAUAGAGGAGGUUGAGGAACAAGUGACACCAUAAGAAAUACAGUGAAACAGGCCAGGCACCGUGGCUCAUGCCUGUAACUCUGAGCACUUUGGGAGGCCGAGAUGGGCAGAUCACCUGAGGUCAGGAGUUCAAGACUAGUCUGGCCAACGUGGUGAAACCCCAUCUCUACUAAAAAAAAAUAUCUGGGCAUGGUGGCAGGCACCUGUAAUCCCAGCUACUCAAGAGGCUGAGGCAUGAGAAGCACUGGAACCCGGGAGGCCGAGGUUGCAGUGAACAGAGAUCGUGCCAUUGCACUCCAGCCUGGGGGAACAAGAGUGAAACUCCAUCUCAAAAAAAAAAAAAAAAGACACUGAAACAAAGCCAGAAGGUAGAAUAUUCUUUCAGGUAGUAGUCUGGUCUCUUCAAUAGUCAAUAUUAUAGAGCAAGAAGGGGCCAGUGGAGAAGAGCUGUUCUAGAUUUUAAAAGAUGUAAGAAAUACAACAUUUGGCCGGGCGCGGUGGCUCACGCCUGUCAUCCCAGCACUUAGGUAGGCCGAGGUGGGCGGAUCAUGAGGUCAGGAGAUCGAGACCAUCCUGGCUAACAUGGUGAAACCCCGUCUCUACUAAAAAUAGAAAAAAUUAGCCGGGCAUGGUGGCAUGCACCUGUAGUCCCAGCUACUCAGGAGGUUGAGGCAGGAGAAUGGCGUGAACCCGGGAGGCGGAGCUUGCAGUGAGCCGAGAUCGCGCCACUGCACUCCAGCCUGGGUGACAGAGCAAGACUCCAUCUCAAAAAAAGAAAAGAAAAGAAAUACAACAUUUAAAUGCACUGUGUUAUCCUUAAUUGGAAACUGCUUUAAUUAUCCAACACUAAAAAAAUGUCAAGGGCAAGAGGUGGUUUGAACUAUGGACUGGUGUUAGAUGAUGUAUUUUUUUUAUUUUGUUAAGUAUAAUAAUAGUUGUUAUGGUUAGGUGGGAAAAGAUCCUUAAAUUUUAGAGCUGCAUGCUGGAGUAUUUAGAAGUGAACCGUCAUUGUAUUUGUUAUUUAAAAUACUACAGGAAUAAACAAGAUGAAGCAAAAUUGCUCAGUCUAGAUAUGGGUCUAUGAGUGUUUCAUCUUUCUACUUUUUUCUCCAUGUUUGAAAUCCUUGGUAAAAUAAAGUCAAAGUGGAGGAAGGAGGAGCUUGAGAUUGAAAAAUCAGUUUGAGAAGCAGCCACCUUGACUGGCUUCACUCUAAUAGCCUGGACGCUGCCUCCACACUCCAGGUGCACUGCUCAGCAUUCUCCAAGAAGAUCAUUAAGGCAGACCCUACGUGUUAAAUUUCAAUCAGUUUCAUUGAGCAAAUAUGCUGUUAAAUAGAGACUGCUGUGUGCUGCGUCAGUGUGCCUUAUGGGCAAAUGUGAUGGUGACUAUAAAUGCAGACCAAGCAGUCCUUCCCACACUGUGUACACAAAGAAAGGAGCUCUGGAACUGGGAGCCAGGACAUCUGCAGGAGGAGAAUUCUGAAGUGAAAGGAGGCCUGGAUAUUGGUUGCAAGGCCUUGUCCCUGGAGCCUGGAUGCUCUCAUACCUUCUACAUCUGGGCCUCUGGGUCCAGGACAGUGCCAGGGAGAGUUCAUAGAAACAAAUGUGUUGAAGACCUUAGCGGUUGUCUGACUCUGAGACAGUUACCUGGCCACUCUUAAGUUUCCUCAUUUUUUUUUUAAUUUUACUUUAAGUUGCGGGAUACAUGUGCAGAACGUGCAGGUUUGUUACAUAGGUAUGCAUGUGCCAUGGUGGUUUGCUGCACCUGUCAACCUUUCAUCUAGGUUUUAAGCCCCUCAUGCAUUAGAUAUUUGUCCUAAUGCUCUCCUUCCCCUUGGCCCCCUGUCAGGUCCUGGUGUGUGUGUUGUCUGGCCCCCACCGUGUCCAUGUGUUCCUAUUGUUCAUCUCCCAUUUAUGAGUGAGAAUAUGUGGUGUUUGGCUUUCUCUUCCUGUGUUAGUUUGCUGAGGAUGAUGGUUUCCAGCUUCAUCCAUGUCCCUGCAGAGGACAUGAUCUCAUCCUUUUCAUGGCUGCAUAGUAUUCCGUGUUGUGUAUAUACCACAUUUUCUUUAUCCAGUCUUUCAUUGGUGGACAUUUGGGUUGGUUUCAUGUCUUUGCUAUUGUAAAUAGUGCUGCAAUAAACAUUAUGUGUGCAUGUGUCUUUAUAGUAAAAUGAUUUCUAUUCCUUUGGGUAUAUACCCAGCAAUGGGAUUACUGGGUCACAUGAUAUUUUUUGGUUCUAGGUCCUUGAGGAAUCGCCACACUGUCUUCCACAAUGGUUGAACUAAUUUACGUUCCCACCAUCAGUGUAAAAGUGUUCCUAUUUCUCCACAGCCUCACCAGCAUCUACUGUUUCUUGACUUUUUAAUCACUGCCAUUCUGACUGGCAAGAUUUCCUCAUUUUUAAGAUAGUGUGACUUCUAGGGUGUUGUGAAGAUUUAAUGAAAUAAUGGUAGCAGAGCUUAGCCCAGGUAAGGACUCUGGAUGAAACAAUGGUUUUCCUACGCUGGACAUCAGGUGGUGCAGGACUGUGAUCCCUGAAAGGAGUAAAACAACUGAGGUGCACCCUGUGGUUGCCCAGCUUCCUUCCUGGAGGCAGCUUUGGGCUGCGCACAGGAGGGAGAACUCAACUGAACCCUGAGUCUCACUGGGUGGAAAAAGAUAAUGGAGUUCAGAGAAGCGAAGUCACUAGGAUUCGCAGGUCAGAGUACCCAGGAUGAGGGAGCUGCUCACCCAAAGAGAG